UACGUAGGGUGCAAGCGUUGUCCGGAAUUAUUGGGCGUAAAGAGCUCGUAGGCGGUCUGUCGCGUCUGCUGUGAAAACUCGGGGCUUAACCCCGGGCCUGCAGUGGGUACGGGCAGACUAGAGUGCGGUAGGGGAGACUGGAAUUCCUGGUGUAGCGGUGAAAUGCGCAGAUAUCAGGAGGAACACCGGUGGCGAAGGCGGGUCUCUGGGCAGUAACUGACGCUGGAGGAGCGAAAAGCGUGGGGGAGCGAACAGG
rnacentral:rRNA from 1 species